GACGAACGCUGGCGGCGUGCUUAACACAUGCAAGUCGAACGGAAAGGCCCUGCUUUUGUGGGGUCUCGAGUGGCGAACGGGGUAGUAAAACCUGGGUUACCUGCCCUUGGCUUUGGGGUAACUUCAGGAAACCGGGGCCAAUACCGGGUAAGAGCUCCUGCUGCCUGGUGGGGGGUGGGAAGUUUCGGCGGUUGGGGAUGGACUCGCGGCUUAUCAGCUUGUUGGUGGGGUAGUGGCUUACCAAGGCUUUGACGGGUAGCCGGCCUGAGAGGGUGACCGGCCACAUUGGGACUGAGAUACGGCCCAGACUCCUACGGGAGGCAGCAGUGGGGAAUAUUGCACAAUGGGCGGAAGCCUGAUGCAGCAACGCCGCGUGCGGGAUGACGGCCUUCGGGUUGUAAACCGCUUUCGCCUGUGACGAAGCGUGAGUGACGGUAAUGGGUAAAGAAGCACCGGCUAACUACGUG
rnacentral:rRNA from 1 species